rnacentral:rRNA from 1 species
AUUGAACGCUGGCGGCAUGCUUUACACAUGCAAGUCGAACGGUAACAGGGAGCUUGCUCCGCUGACGAGUGGCGAACGGGUGAGUAAUAUAUCGGAACGUACCCAAUAGUGGGGGAUAACGUAGCGAAAGUUACGCUAAUACCGCAUACGAUCUAAGGAUGAAAGCAGGGGACCUUCGGGCCUUGUGCUCCUGGAGCGGCCGAUAUCUGAUUAGCUAGUUGGUGAGGUAAAGGCUCACCAAGGCGACGAUCAGUAGCUGGUCUGAGAGGACGACCAGCCACACUGGAACUGAGACACGGUCCAGACUCCUACGGGAGGCAGCAGUGGGGAAUUUUGGACAAUGGGCGCAAGCCUGAUCCAGCAAUGCCGCGUGAGUGAAGAAGGCCUUCGGGUUGUAAAGCUCUUUUGUCAGGGAAGAAACGGGAUUGGCUAAUAUCCAGUCCUAAUGACGGUACCUGAAGAAUAAGCACCGGCUAACUACGUG